GACCUGGUUGAAUGGUCUGCCGAAAGGUAUGCACUGUUCCGGCUGGGUCUUUCCUUCUGGGGAACCAGCGUGCUCUUUAUUGAGUGCACUGGGGAUCCAGGACUUUUACUUUGAAAAAAUUAGAGUGUUUAAAGCAGGCCUAUGCUUGAAUACAUUAGCAUGGAAUAAUAGAAUAGGACUUUGGUUCUAUUUUGUUGGUUUCUAGGACCGAAGUA
rnacentral:rRNA from 1 species